GCCUCAGCCUCCUGAGUAGCCGGACUACAGGCGCCGGCCACCCCACCGCGCUAAUUUUUUUGUAUUUUUUAGUAGAGACGGGGUUUUGUGUCCGGAAUUGGUGGGUUCUUGGUCUCACUGACUUCAAGAAUGAAGCCGCGGACCCUCGCAGUGAGUGCUACAGCUUUUAAGGUGGCGCCUUUGGAGUUUGUUCCUUCUGAUGUUCGGAUGUGUUCGGAGUUUCUUCCUUCUGGUGGGUUCGUGAUCUCGCUGGCUCAGGAGUGAAGCUGCAGACCUUCACGGGGAGUGUUACAGCUCUUAAGGUGGCACAUCUGGAGUUUGUUCCUUCUGACGUUCAGAUGUGUUCGGAGUUUCUUCCUUCUGGUGGGUUCGUGAUCUCGCUGGCUCAGGAGUGAAGCUGCAGACCUUCAGGGGGAGUGUUACAGCUCUUAAGGUGGCGCGUCUGGAGUUUCUUCCUUCUGGUGGGUUCGUGAUCUCGCUGGCUCAGGAGUGAAGCUGCAGACCUUCACGGAUCUCGCUGUGUUGCCCGGGCUGGUCUCAAACUUCUGGACACAAACAAUCCUCCACAUUGGCCUCCCAAAAUGCUGGAAUUACAGGUGUGAGCCACUGGACCAGCAGGACUCUAAAUUUUGGAGAUUGUAAAAUCAGGAAGUAUAUCUAAGUCACCUCCAGUAGCCGUAACUCUACCUUGUCCAGUAAAAGUGCUGCUUGUUGCUGACGUUUCUGCCCAAACAUCAUGAAAUGUGGAGAAGAAAGAACACUCAGAUGUGCCCUGGAGACUUUCCUUUUAUUUUUAAACAGGUACAUCCUGAAAUUAUGUUAGAGUGCCUGCAAUCUGUCUGGAAUUCAGACUAUUACCCUUCUGGAUUCACUAAAACUAUACUCUUAAUCUGUACUGGGAAGUUCUAUACUGUUGCUUUAAUCCUUGGUGCUGUUUAUUUCAACCAAGAUACACCUUGAAGACAAUCUGCCUGCAACACUCAUAAUCCCUGAAUGGAUAGCACCCAAUAAAAGAGAGAACAUCAUUGCCAAUUUUUUCUUCUAUCCAAGUCCUCCUCUGUCUUUAUACCUUAUUUGACCUGAAUAUCUUAUCUUUCCGUGUUAAAUGCUCUUCUCUCUUGACCUCUAGAUCACUGUACUCUCUGGGGUCUGCCUCUGUUUCCCUAAUAUUUUCCGCUUUAAAUUGUCCACAUCUGCUCAUGCUUCAAUUGAUGCCCUCUUUUUAAAAAUUCUGUCCUUAGCCAUCAUUUCUCUCUAAGUUCUACUUAAUAAUAACCUUAGACAUUUUUGUGAUUUUAUCUUUUAUUUCUAUGCAUAUUUUUUUACCAAAUGCAUACUUCUAGAUGUGAUCCCCCUCAUAUUUUUCAGAACAUAUAUAGUUCAUUGACAUUAUUUUCAAAGAUACAUCAACAGCACCCCAAAUUAAACAUGUACAAAAAUAUUUGUCUUCUCCACAAAUAUGUUCUCAUUUGAAUAUUUACUGCCAUUGCUGUUGGAGGAUACCUCUAAAGAACCCUGGAAGAAAAUAUCAGUGUUAGUCACAAUUUCUUAUAUUUUUCAUCUCUGUAGUCAAGAAGUAAAUCACCAUAUCAUAGAGAAUUGUGAAGGAUCUGAGAUUUUAUCAUCUUACAAGCUAACAGGUUAGCUGGCUACAAUUUCACAGAUUCUGCAGAAGACACAGGACUCCAGGAUCAGACACAAAGAACUUUGCUACUCAUGGCACAGCAGGUAGCAUGAGCUUCAUGUUCACACCAGUUUCCUUUGACUCCUCAGUCACAUUGGAGUGGUGCAGAGAAAACUCAGGUGGAUGCUGGACACACAGUGAGUUUGUUUCACAGUCAAAGAAUUCUGAUCUUUGGAAACCCAAAUCUUUUAUAAGGUAUAUGCAACCAAAAGCACCAAGUCUUUGCCCUGACGGGAGACACCGUCUCUAUCUGUAAGGAGAUAGAAGAGGACAAAGGGAAUAAGUAUCUCUGUUCUAAAACAUGUAGGAAUACAAGAAACAUGUAAAGAAUAUUCUCCCUAUACUUAUCGUACCUGCUGUAUCUUCUGUUCCUCAUUUCUAAAUAGCUGUGUGAAACUGGACAAAUUACUUACCUUCAUUGUCCCACAAUUUUUUAUGUGUUAAUGGGAAUAAUAAUAGUACCUAAAACACAGAGCUAUUAUGAUUUUUCAAAGAGUUAAUAUGUCUAAAGUUUCUGUGGUAAAGGCUGGCACAUUAUUAAAUGCUAUUUAAGUCAUUAUUAAAUAACUGAAUAAGUACUUAUUACUAUUAUCAUCAUCAUAUUUACUGUUCCUUUUCCAUUUUGUUUGCCACUGGCACUUAGCUUCUCCCUUGUCUACUGCAGUAUAGUCUUACUGUGAUUCUGCACCCAGACUCUCACCUCCCCCAUUUACUCUUUGUGCAGUUUCCAAAGCUUAUUUCCUAAAAUAAGUAUCAGUGAUGUCCACUUGAUUCUUCCAGAAAUUUUAGAUGAUUCCAGGUUGCAGACAGAAACUGGCCUGCAGUAUGGAAUUCAGGAUCCUUCUCAACAUGACUUUUUGGUAGUCUCUUUCCCCUUUAGACUUCCGUAGUUUAGACUUUCUGUAUUUUAUGAAGAGAUUAGGCACAUCUAGGCAUCCACAAAUUUGAUCCUGCUGUUCCCUCAGUCAGAAACCCUUUUAUCUUUACCUGUGAAAAUUCUUGUAAUGUUACUGAUGUCAGUUCAUGCUAUUGCUUCCCCAAACUUCUUGCAAGCACACACUCUGCCUGGCUUAUCUUUCAAUACUCUCUUGGUUGUAAAAAUCAUUUUUAGCAACACAAGUAUCAUAUUCAUCAUCCAUCCACUUUCCUUAUAUUCUUCCUCUUUAACUUUCUACCCAUCUAGUUCCUUUGUCUUUGCUUGUCAACAUAUCCUGGUCAUUCUCUUCAUUCAUAUGAACUGACUUAGCAGGCUCACUUUCCUGCAGCUUUAGGUUCUGCAUAGAUGGCUUCCUUGUGGACAUCUAAUUUGGGCUGAUCCAGGAUGAACACUGCCCUAUACUGCUUCCCCUCUAAUACUGCUGAGUUCUGUCUUUGAGGUUGAGGCCUUACAAGUCCAGAAACAAAUCAUCAAUGCCUCAUAGUCCUACCCUUCACCGUGUAGGAGGCUUAUCGUCUUGAUAAUCAAACAAAAAGCCCAGCAUCAAAAAGUCACCUGUGGUCAAAGCUGCAAAUACUAAGGAAAUGUUUUGGUGAGCAUGAAUAAAAAAAGGCAUAUUACUUCCUCCAUUUAGCCUGUGCCAAUUAAGACUGUGUAGGAGGAGAUUUAUUGCAAUUAAAUAAUUUAAAAUAUUAUGUAUAAUUUCAGUUAAUUGAGCAAAAAUGUAACAGCAUUCAAGAGAAAAGAGCAAAGGAAAAACCAAUGUAAAAUUUAAAAGUAUAUACAGUCUAUAUAUUGAUCUGGGUUUAUAAAGGGAUUUAAAUUGCAGUUCUAAAUUUAUUUAGUUUUAUAUUUCAAUUGCACAUCUGUUUCUCGUUUUCAUGGAACAUGUUUCAAUCUCAGAGUGAAAGAUUUCCUGAAAAUCAUAAGAUUUAUGUUUACUGUGUUCCUUAUAAAACCAAACUCAUGACAAGUGAUGGUCAAUAAGUGGUCUUUGUUGCAUUAAAUAAAAAGAAUCUGUGAACUUUGAAUGCU
rnacentral:lncRNA from 1 species